UACGGAGGGGGCUAGCGUUGUUCGGAAUUACUGGGCGUAAAGCGCACGUAGGCGGCUUUGUAAGUUAGAGGUGAAGCCCAGGGCUUAACCCUGGAAUUGCCUUUAAGACUGCAUCGCUAGAAUCGUGGAGAGGUGAGUGGAAUUCCGAGUGUAGAGGUGAAAUUCGUAGAUAUUCGGAAGAACACCAGUGGCGAAGGCGACUCACUGGACACGUAUUGACGCUGAGGUGCGAAAGCGUGGGGAGCAAACAGG
rnacentral:rRNA from 1 species